AGGUACAUGUACCUUGUUGACCAGAAGGAAACCCUUCCGGUCAGGGAGGUACAUUGAACUCUUUGACUGGAAGGGUUUCCUUCCGGUCAACAAGGAUGUACCU
rnacentral:miRNA from 1 species